rnacentral:rRNA from 1 species
UACGAAGGGGGCUAGCGUUGUUCGGAAUUACUGGGCGUAAAGCGCGUGUAGGCGGGUCUUUAAGUCAGGGGUGAAAUGCCAAGGCUCAACCUUGGAACUGCCUUUGAUACUGGAUGGCUUGAGGUUGGGAGAGGGAUGCGGAAUUCCAGGUGUAGCGGUGAAAUGCGUAGAUAUCUGGAGGAACACCGGUGGCGAAGGCGGCAUCCUGGACCAAUUCUGACGCUGAGGAGCGAAAGCCAGGGGAGCAAACGGG